UACGUAGGGGGCUAGCGUUGUCCGGAAUCAUUGGGCGUAAAGAGCGUGUAGGCGGCCCGGUAAGUCCGCUGUGAAAGUCAAAGGCUCAACCUUUGAAUGUCAGCGGAUACUGCCGGGCUAGAGUCCGGAAGAGGCGAGUGGAAUUCCUGGUGUAGCGGUGGAAUGCGCAGAUAUCAGGAGGAACACCAACGGCGAAGGCAGCUCGCUGGGACGGUACUGGACGCUGAGACGCGAAAGCGUGGGGAGCGAACAGG
rnacentral:rRNA from 1 species